CCUACGGGUGGCAGCAGUGGGGAAUAUUGGUCAAUGGACGAGAGUCUGAACCAGCCAAGUAGCGUGAAGGAUGACUGCCCUAUGGGUUGUAAACUUCUUUUAUAUGGGAAUAAAAUGUUCCACGUGUGGGAUUUUGUAUGUACCAUAUGAAUAAGGAUCGGCUAACUCCGUGCCAGCAGCCGCGGUAAUACGGAGGAUCCGAGCGUUAUCCGGAUUUAUUGGGUUUAAAGGGAGCGUAGGUGGAUUGUUAAGUCAGUUGUGAAAGUUUGCGGCUCAACCGUAAAAUUGCAGUUGAAACUGGCAGUCUGGAGUACAGUAGGGGUGGGCGGAAUUCGUGGUGUAGCGGUGAAAGGCUUAGAUAUCACGAAGAACUCCGAUUGCGAAGGCAGCUCACUGGAGUGCAACUGACACUGAGGCUCGAAAGUGUGGGUAUCAAACAGGAUUAGUACCCCAGUAGUC
rnacentral:rRNA from 1 species